rnacentral:rRNA from 1 species
CACACCGCCCGUCACAUCACGAAAGUGGGCUGUACUAGAAGCCGGUGGGCUAACCGCAAGGAAGCAGCCGUCCAAGGUAUAACUCAUGAUAGGGGUG